rnacentral:misc_RNA from 1 species
GAUGAAGAACGUAGCAAAAUGCGAUAAGUAAUGAGAAUUGCAGAAUUCAGUGAAUCAUCGAAUCUUUGAACGCACAUUGCGCCCGCCAGUAUUCUGGCGGGCAUGCCUGUUCGAGCGUCAUUUCAACCCUCAAGCACAGCUUGGUGUUGGGACUCGCGUUAAUUCGCGUUCCCCAAAUUGAUUGGCGGUCACGUCGAGCUUCCAUAGCGUAGUAGUAAAACCCUCGUUACUGGUAAUCGUCGCGGCCACGCCGUUAAACCCCAACUUCUGAAUGUUGACCUCGGAUCAGGUAGGAAUACCCGCUGAACUUAAGCAUAUCAAUAAGCGGAGGA